rnacentral:lncRNA from 1 species
UUUGAAAGUUCAGUCCAGAGAAAAAUCUAUAAAUUCCUCUUAUGUGGUAAAAGUUUAAAAAAAAAAAGAAGAAGAAGAAGAAGAAGAAGAAAAAUGUAAGUAAAGCUUUUUUCUCUUUCUUUAAAACAAAUUUUCAGGAGUCUGACUAUGAUGAAGAUUUUAGUCAUUCUACAUGGAGCAGUGAAGAUGAAAGCCCACAUGAGGAUGUACAGGAUUAUGGAAAUAAGACAAAAGGUGAUGAAAUUAUUAUUACUUUUCAAAGAGAAGACAACAGUCCCAAACAAAUGAGCAAAGUUGACAAUGAUUCUGAAGUACGCAAUCAGAAGACAUCAGUGCACAAAAAGUGGGCAAGUGAACGAUCUCUUUCUCUUCCAAAUGAAACUGAGAUGGUGGAAUUUAAAAUCAGGCAACAGACUCUGUUCCCUUUCCUUCUUAAGAAAGAGGAAAGCUUAAAAGAGCUGCCUGAUGCUGACCUGGAUUUUCCGGUGCCAAAACAUUGCUCAGAACCUAAUGUUUCCCAGUCUAUGAUGGGUAAGAACACCUUCCGGGUGACAAAGGAGUGUUUUCGACACACUAAAUCUGAUGGACCCUGCCCUUCCUUUGUCUGAAGAUUUGUCUAAUCGCUUAAACAUAUUGACUCUG